GACGAACGCUGGCGGCGUGCUUAACACAUGCAAGUCGAACGGAAAGGCCCUGCUUGCAGGGUGCUCGAGUGGCGAACGGGUGAGUAACACGUGGGUGAUCUGCCCCUUACUUUGGGAUAAGCCUGGGAAACUGGGUCUAAUACUGGAUAGGACCAUGCUGUAGGUAGUGUGGUGGAAAGAUUAGUUUCGGUAAGGGAUGAGCUCGCGGCCUAUCAGCUUGUUGGUGGGGUAAUGGCCUACCAAGGCGUCGACGGGUAGCCGGCCUGAGAGGGUGGACGGCCACAUUGGGACUGAGAUACGGCCCAGACUCCUACGGGAGGCAGCAGUGGGGAAUAGUGCACAAUGGGCGCAAGCCUGAUGCAGCGACGCCGCGUGGGGGAUGACGGCCUUCGGGUUGUAAACUCCUUUCAGCCAUGACGAAGCCCUUGUGGUGACGGUAGUGGUAGAAGAAGCACCGGCUAACUACGUG
rnacentral:rRNA from 1 species